rnacentral:rRNA from 1 species
AUGUUAUUUCCUCUUCUUAUAUUACUACUUUUCACUUUGUUCAUUGGAUUCAUAGGAAUCUCUUUUGAUAAUGGAGGAAUUGAUAAUGAAAUAGCAGAGUUAACCAUAUUAUCAAAGUGGUUAGCUCCCUCAAUAAACUUUACCCAGGAAAGUUCUAAUUUUUUUGUAAAUUCAUAUGAAUUUAUUACUAAUGCAAUUUCUUCUGUAAGUCUAGCUAUCUUUGGUUUACUCAUAGCAUAUAUCUUCUAUGGAUCUGCUUAUUCUUUUUUUCAGAAUUUGGAUUUAAUAAACUCUUUUUACAAAGGAAAUCCUAAAAAGAAUUUUUAG